AGCAAGUUAACCUCCUAUGCGACAUAAAAAUUAGUAUAGUGGCGGUGUUUUUACUACCAAAUUGAAGAAUUCCAAGAUUUCCAAUCGAGAAUAUCCCGUAAAACAGCAAAGAGCGGUUUCUUCCGUGUCCUUGCAUCGUCCUCAAUUGUGCGCUUCACUAGUUAAUGUGUUAGUUUUCUUGCAAAGCAUGACUAGAUUUUUCCUUUUUGCCGCGUUUUCAUGACUUUACUGCAGUGUGGAUCAUCUGUCAUAAAAUGUGCGCUCAUAAACGAAGAAAAACCAUCAAUCCGCCAACGUAACACCACGCAAAAAGAAGCGAAUCCAGCACACUGUUCAAAACGUGUCUAGCGGGCGAACGAAAUAUCCUAGGAUAACGAUUCUUUCAUCAGAUUG